CCUGCCAGUCCUUUCUGGCCCUGGGAAAGGCCUUCCCUACACAAUGUUAGGCUGAGGCAAAUCAGUCUUGGACCAGGCAGAAGCCAACGGAGAACUCAUUACAUAAAAGCAAAGAGACAUCAUGGUAUUUGUGGGUCAGGCCUCAGUGAAGCCACACACACAUGCACACACACAUACACACAUACACAUGCAUGCACACAUGCACACACACACAUGCACACACACACAGCCUGCCAGUUCACAGCUGCCAGAGAUUUCCCCUUGGUCUGUCUUCCAGUGGAUGAGAGUUGUGGCCCAGCCAGGAGAGAACAUGGAGGGUAAGGUCGAGAGAGUUGGGUGAGUACCCACUAGUUCUCUCCUUUCUUGCCAGUGGAAUCCCAUGUUAUCGAGGGUGGCAGUGGGCUUUGAUAAACAUAUUUCCCAGCCUCUCUUGCAGAAGUAUAAGCUGAAGUUUUUGGUUUGGGCUUCCAAAGAAGCUCUUAGGCAUGGUGGCUUAUGCCCGUAAUCCCAGCACUUUGGGAGGUCGAAGUGGGAGGAUCACUUGAGGCCAGGAGUUCAGGACCAAAGAAGCUCUUUACAUGGGACUGAGUCAGCUGAAAGGCUCUUCUUCCUUUCUGCUUCCUGGAACACAGACAUGAGAGCUGGGUUUCCAGCAGCCAUCAUGUAACCAUAGUGCAAUUCUGAAACGCAAGUUCCAUGGUAAGGAAGUUGGAAGAGACACUUAGGAAGAACGUGGGUCCCUGAUGGCCCUGGAACCAGCCCUUCAUCCCUGGAUAUUUUUUCUUGGAUUUUUUUUUCAUGUGAGAAAAAGGAAAAUCCCUGUAUUAUUAAAGCCCACCAUUUGGGUUUUCUGUUAUAUGUGGCCAACUUAAUCGUAAGCAGCAUAGCUGGCUGUUGGCCAUCGCUAUGACAAGAAGAGCAAAAUUUUAACUCAAGUGGAAUAAUGAUCUCAUUUUUGUAUAAACGGAGCAGCACAGACAUAAAAAUCUUAUCACCGUCUCUGUUAUUUUGACCUUAAUCAAAUAACCUUGAUGCACUGUGCUCAGGUUUAUAGUAUGUUAAAAAACAAAGACAAAAACUAGCUCUGGGAUGGAAUAAAUGGAGUAAGCUCAUUGAUUCAUUGGAUGAUGAGGUCCUACUAGGAAAGAGAAUCUCUGUGGUACAAAAGCCCCGUGGAGCUGCCAUCCUCUGGUGCUCAUAGGUGUUAGUUGUGUCCUCACAUCUACUGAGGAAGGCACCAACACUCAGAAAGAUUGAGUGACUGAAAAAGUCCCUGGGUCACCCAGACCUGGAAGAUACUUGGUCAGGCCAGCACUCAACUCAGGCAGCAAGAAGUCGACUUUGUUUUAAAGUAAACAAAAUGUCACUCCAUAUAAUCAGUGAAUUUUGCUCAUAAUACUUCACACCCCUCAAUACCACCACCAGCCAUUCUCAGUGAUGUGAGAAGUUGUUUGCAGACUUUCUAAUCUCCUUCAAAAUUCAAGAAUUCUGAAUUUUGAGCCACACUUUUUGGGGUUUCAGUUCAAUUUACUCCAGACAAAACAUACUUCCUGGUUAAAAGGAAAAUUGUUUAAGGGGUCUUACAAAAGAAAGGGUUCAGGAAGAUUCUUGGACACAAAGUGGUUCUUGCUAAAUAAUUGUCCUGAGAUAAGCCUAAGAGAAUCAGAAACAUACACAUUGAAUUUCCCUUGAAAUUCACAUGGGUAUAACACUGUUGGGAAGGGGGGCUUAGCAACAUGCAUUUUGCCAAACCCAAAAUGUUUGAAAAAUGAUUUGAGUAUGUGCACGUUUGGCAAAUCACUCUUGGGUUCAUCUAUCCUAGCCCCACAGUGACAAGACUUUCCCCCUGCCCUUCAUCCAGGACCCCCUGUAAAGGAGCAUUAGUUACCCAAGAAUCUUCCCUUGGAUUUUUGCCAUGAUGUGAGUCCUAGGGUGGAGACCAAGGUGGGGGAUGGAGGGGUUGUCAGAAUCUGUGUCCUCAUGGGAAUGCCUGGGGAUCCUCUUGCAGUUGUGUCUUUGUGUAAUGAGAGUUACUCAGGCAGCACUCUCGAGGUUCCCCUGUAAUCAGAAAGCGUCUAUAAAGCACAUCAUGUCUUAUAACAUGUUUAGGCAGACAGGAAGCCUGUUAUGUAUGUAGCAGAGAGGAAACCUAUUUAUGUAUAUUUUCAUCUAGUUUCAUAUGGCAUUAUGGUGAUUCUAAAACACUCCACCCCCAGGGGAAUAGAUUAAUUAGUGACCUAUAGUAUUUUCAUACUUAUAAUGUCCUUUAUUAUUGAGCAUAUCUGCAAGCAUUGAGUUUGCAUUACAUUACACUCUAUUAUACAUUACAUUGUAUUAUAUAUUAUAUUAUUUGCAAAGAUAGUUCAUCAAUUAAGAGACAAUGAAUUGGAUAUGGUGUAUUUGCCACCAGUGAUAGUAAAUAAACAUGAAUAUUAGGAACAAAACAUGGGAUUAUAGACUUUAUAAGGUGCGUGUAAAUGUGCAUCUUCUAUAUUCCAUGGAUACUUCAGCUAUUAUGAAUUUCAGCGCAUUUUUUUUAAGCCCAGGAAGUCCUAAGCUUUUCCACCUGCUUACAAUGUCCAGAGAUUUCACUGCACUUCUCCUGUUGGCCACUAGAUGUCACAGGACCAAGUUGAGUAGGAAGUUGCCACUGAAGUUCGUUCUAUGAGAGAAGCAGGUAUUUCCCAACUUAGCAAUAAAUGGCACUGCAAGAGCUUGUUCACAGUACAGUGCCCAAAACUUCAAUUGCACCACAGACAUCAUGCUAGAACUGGUGAUUAGUGCCCAGGCUAGCCCACAAAAGCCUACUCGCUUCUCCAUAAGCCUAAAAUGGGUUCCUAGCUUUGAGAUGAAACAGAUGUGGGUGCUGUUCUCAGCUCAGGCAGAACUUGGGCCUAAUCUUUUUGAACCACUGCUUCCUUUUCUGAAGACGGGAGUAAUAAUUCCUGCUCAGCAAGGGAGUCAUGGGGGUAGGUGAGAGUGGGGGUGCGACAAGUACAUUUGCAAGAAGAUAGACAAGACCGCACAGGCGUCACCAGGGAUCUUGUUGGCAGGCAGGUUGCAUUCAUAGGUCUGAUGUGGGGCUCAGGGUUCUGCCCUUCUAACAAGCUAUUAACGAGUAUCUAACAAACUACUGACAAGUAUCUAACAAGACUAACAAGUAUCCAACAAGCUACUCACGAGUAUCCAACAAGCUAUUAACGAGUAUCUAACAAGCUACCAACGAGUAUCUAACAAGCUAUUAACGAGUAUCCAACAAGCUACUGACAAGUAUCGAACAAGCUACUGACAAGUAUCCAACAAGCUACUGACAAGUAUCUAACAAGACUAACAAGUAUCCAACAAGCUACUGACGAGUAUCCAACAAGCUACUGACGAGUAUCCAACAAGCUACUGACGAGUGUCUAACAAGCUACUGACGAGUG
rnacentral:lncRNA from 1 species